rnacentral:rRNA from 1 species
UGAAGUAAAAAGUCGUAACAAGGUCUCCGUAGGUGAACCUGCGGAGGGAUCAUUACUGAGUGAGGGCCUUCGGGCUCGACCUCCAACCCUUUGUGAACACAACUUGUUGCUUCGGGGGCGACCCUGCCGUUUCGACGGCGAGCGCCCCCGGAGGCCUUCAAACACUGCAUCUUUGCGUCGGAGUUUAAGUAAAUUAAACAAAACUUUCAACAACGGAUCUCUUGGUUCUGGCAUCGAUGAAGAACGCAGCGAAAUGCGAUAAGUAAUGUGAAUUGCAGAAUUCAGUGAAUCAUCGAAUCUUUGAACGCACAUUGCGCCCCUUGGUAUUCCGAGGGGCAUGCCUGUUCGAGCGUCAUUUCACCACUCAAGCCUCGCUUGGUAUUGGGCGCCGCGGUGUUCCGCGCGCCUCAAAGUCUCCGGCUGAGCUGUCCGUCUCUAAGCGUUGUGAUUUCAUUAAUCGCUUCGGAGCGCGGGCGGUCGCGGCCGUUAAAUCUUUUAUAAGGUUGACCUCGGAUCAGGUAGGGAUACCCGCUGAACUUAAGCAUAUCAAUAAGCGGAGGAA